rnacentral:lncRNA from 1 species
AUUUAAAAGGACAAAUUGUUUCAAAACUAUAUUGCAAAGGAGUUAAUGUAUUCUCCGGUAUAUAUAUCAUCCGUCACAAAAUCAGAAUCUGCCAAAAGACAUUUUUGUCAUUAACCUUUUAAGCUAUGAGAAAGUAGACAUAAGAAAGUAAUCAGUUUUCAGAAACAAAGAUUAAGUGUAUAACCAUAUGUAAACUUAGUUCGAAUUUGUUUUAAAAAAGAAGUUUUCAUACCUUUCUUAGACAUAGUUGAAACAUAAACUUAACAGGAAAAGAAAAUCAACACAAUAUUAUGUGAAAUAAAACCAAUAAAUAUACAAUUGCACCCAAAGUUGAAAGUUUAACCCAUAAAUUUUUAUCCAUCAUCUUCAACAUAACUUUGGAGCAACAUUACAAAAACAUAGCAAACAAAUAUGCCUAGGAGAGAGGACAAACAGGAAAGGUUGGCUCACCGAGGCAGCAGCAGAGAAUCGGCAGCGUUCAGAGAUGCGCACAGCACCGGGGUGACCGAUGCCAACCCACAACGACGGCCAUGACACACGCAGGAAUCGCGAUCUAAUAUUGUGUCAAGUUUACCACU